rnacentral:tRNA from 1 species
GUCCCCGUCGUCUAGUCUUGGCCCAGGACGUCCCGCCUUCCGCGGGAAAACGCGUGGUUCAAAUCCCGCCGGGGACG